ACCCUCCCAGGAUCGCACCUGGGGAGUUUCCAGUACUCUACCAGUCUCGGCUAUGGGAGAGAGAGUCAAGCAGAGGCAAACCCAUUCCAUUCCUAACUUGGGCAAUGGCUAGCGAGUGGAAGACAAUUCUGCUACAAAU